AACUCAAAUGAAUUGACGGGGGCCCGCACAAGCGGUGGAGCAUGUGGUUUAAUUCGAUGCAACGCGAAGAACCUUACCUGGUCUUGACAUCCACAGAACUUGGCAGAGAUGCCUUGGUGCCUUCGGGAACUGUGAGACAGGUGCUGCAUGGCUGUCGUCAGCUCGUGUUGUGAAAUGUUGGGUUAAGUCCCGCAACGAGCGCAACCCUUAUCCUUUGUUGCCAGCGGUUAGGCCGGGAACUCAAAGGAGACUGCCAGUGAUAAACUGGAGGAAGGUGGGGAUGACGUCAAGUCAUCAUGGCCCUUACGACCAGGGCUACACACGUGCUACAAUGGCGCAUACAAAGAGAAGCAAACUCGCGAGAGCAAGCGGACCUCAUAAAGUGCGUCGUAGUCCGGAUUGGAGUCUGCAACUCGACUCCAUGAAGUCGGAAUCGCUAGUAAUCGUGAAUCAGAAUGUCACGGUGAAUACGUUCCCGGGCCUUGUACACACCGCCCGUCACACCAUGGGAGUGGGUUGCAAAAGAAGUAGGUAGCUUAACCUUCGGGAGGGCGCUUACCACUUUGUGAUUCAUGACUGGGGUGAAGUCGUAACAAGGUAGCC
rnacentral:rRNA from 1 species